rnacentral:rRNA from 1 species
UACAUGGGGUGCAAACGUUGCUCGGAAUUAUUGGGCGUAAAGCGCGCGUAGGCGGUUACUCAAGUCGAAUGUGAAAGCCCUCGGCUUAACUGAGGAAGUGCACCCGAAACUGAGUAGCUAGAGUACUAAAGAGGGUCGCGGAAUUCCCGGUGUAGAGGUGAAAUUCGUAGAUAUCGGGAGGAACACCGGUGGCGAAGGCGGCGACCUGGGUAGAUACUGACGCUGAGGCGCGAAAGCGUGGGGAGCAAACAGG